GACAGCAGCAGCCGCGGUAAUACGAAGGGGGCUAGCGUUGUUCGGAAUUACUGGGCGUAAAGCGUACGUAGGCGGCUUUGUAAGUUAGAGGUGAAAGCCUGGUGCUCAACGCCAGAACUGCCUUUAAGACUGCAUCGCUUGAACGUCGGAGAGGUGAGUGGAACUGCGAGUGUAGAGGUGAAAUUCGUAGAUAUUCGCAAGAACACCAGUGGCGAAGGCGGCUCACUGGCUCGAUUCUGACGCUGAGGUGCGAAAGCGUGGGGAGCAAACAGGAUUAGAGACCCCUGUAGUCCCUGUCUCUUAUAC
rnacentral:rRNA from 1 species